GGCAACGGAUAUCUCGGCUCUCGCAUCGAUGAAGAACGUAGCGAAAUGCGAUACUUGGUGUGAAUUGCAGAAUCCCGUGAACCAUCGAGUCUUUGAACGCAAGUUGCGCCCGAAGCCUUCGGGCCGAGGGCACGCCUGCCUGGGCGUCACGCAUCGCGUCGCCCCCACCUCUCCGCUCA
rnacentral:rRNA from 1 species